GCUCUCGUGGAUCAGUGGUAGAUCGUCCUCUUUCUAUUCAGUAUUCGGGGCGAAUAAGCUGAAGACGUGGGUUCGAAUCCCGCCAAGGGCA